GCCAGACUCCUACGGGAGGCAGCAGUGGGGGAUAUUGCACAAUGGGGGCAACCCUGAUGCAGCGACGCCGCGUGAGCGAUGGAGUACUUCGGUAUGUAAAGCUCUGUCAGCAGGGAAGAGAAUGACGGUACCUGACCAAGAAGCCCCGGCUAAAUACGUGCCAGCAGCCGCGGUAAUACGUAGGGGGCAAGCGUUAUCCGGAAUUACUGGGUGUAAAGGGAGCGUAGACGGUGAUGCAAGUCUGGAGUGAAAGGCGGGGGCCCAACCCCCGGACUGCUCUGGAAACUGUGUAACUUGAGUGCAGGAGAGGUAAGCGGAAUUCCUAGUGUAGCGGUGAAAUGCGUAGAUAUUAGGAGGAACACCAGUGGCGAAGGCGGCUUACUGGACUGUAACUGACGUUGAGGCUCGAAAGCGUGGGGAGCAAACAGGAUUAGAUACCCUGGUACC
rnacentral:rRNA from 1 species